UUGUGGAAUUGAGUAAGCAGAAAGUCGAAAGUAGGUAACAGUUCUGUAAGAUUCUGUCCGAGAUUGGAAGAUUACUUAAUUCUCCGAAGCAGCGGUUCUCAAUCACCGUGUUCGCGUAUCUUCGAUGCGAAUAAACCGACAACUUGACGCUAAGGGUAGACGAGACGAUUCAAGAAACCCGAUGAAGAAGCGAGAUGUUGUACUUUGAAGGAUAUACAAGUUCCUUUUUCCUCGAGAAACUUGCCUUCUUCAUCGGAAGAACAGGAAUUCCAAUU